GCUGGGGAUCCCGAUGUGGGGUUUGGACUCCUUGCUCCUUGGGGAGAACCUCUACCAUUGUGAUUAUCCUCCUGUUUGUGGGUCACCUUGCCUGGGGAGUGGGUACUGACUAUACCCUGUCUCACUGUGGUUCCUUCUUUAUCGCUUUAGUUGUGGGAAGUCUUUUCUACUAGUCUCCAGGUCAUUCUCAUAGACAGUUCUUCUGGAAACAGUCGUGACUUUGGUGUGCCCCUGGAAGGAGAUCAGCUCAGGGUCUUCCCACUCUGCCAUCUUGGCCACAUACCUCAAGAAACAUUUUUUUUAUAGUAUUUUGUGGUUUCUGAAUUGUUUUCACGAACAUUAUGUUUCAGUGAGGUAGGUCUUAUUAUUUCUAUUUUAUACUAGUUGAGACUGGGGUCGGAGAGGCUCAGCAGCUAUUUGAAAGGUUCUGGCUGAGCCCUGUAAGGGUGCUCCCUGACCAGCAGCAGCAGCAUCACUCAGGGAAAGUGAGAAAUGCGCGUUCUCAGCCCCCACACCCUAGACUUCCUGAAUCAGAAACUCUGGGGUGGAGCCCAGCGAUCUGUGUUUUAACAAGGCCUCCUGGUGAUUCUGAAGCACACUCCAGGGUGAGAACCACACCUCAGUCUACCCAGGAAUUUGUUAGGUUAAAAAAAUAAACGAAAACAAAACAGUGAUGUCCGUUUGGACCUUUCUCCAAAAUCCUAACUCCUCACUUUGACUCUAGAGGCAGUUACUCUCAUCAUGAAAACAGAACUAAUCACAGCUGCUGGGUGUUUUUAGAUGAACCCAUUUUGUCUUUUGUAGGUCACAUUGCAGAGGAGAAGAGGGAUAAAGAAUCCUCUCUAUUCAACAGGGAUGUAAGUGAUGAGCAGUUAACAACCAUAAAUAAAGGAAUACUUCCAGAAGCAAUCAGUCCAGAUGUUCCAAGCAGGAGUAUGCCAUGCGCACAGCUUCUGCACUUUCUGCAGAGGGACAUCAGCAUCGCCACUGUCUCGGUGGCAGGAAUCCUCACGGCCACAGUGUCGCUGCUGCUGGCGUUGGUCACGUACAUCAGGAAGAAACAGCCAUUAUCUCCUCCAGCAAACAUGACCUACAAUAUUUUUAUAAUGAAUGGAAAGACUUGGUGGCAAAAGUCUCAAGAAAAGAAGACCAGAAAACAUGGAGGAAAACAGGAACAGUUGAAGUUACAUUCCCGUGUCUAAGCCAGGUGAUGGGGCCAGCCAACCAGCACCCAAAGCCGUGAUGCGAGGCGAUUCUCCAUCCGGACUCCGUGGAGAGGCAGUUGGAUUUCUGGCUGUGAGGUGCACCCUGCAAAAUGUUUACCUUUUCCUCUCAACUUUGAAUGGACCAAGAAAAUUUUGACCACAGAAUGCUCAUAAUGGUAAUGGCGUUAAUGACUAGUACAGGAGACUUAGCACAUUUCCCCAAAGACUGACCUGACACACAAUGGAUUCAUUUAUUAAAGCAGUGCUUCAUUUUCUCAGCCGUUCACUGAACAGAUAUGAAUUGAACACCCCAUAUACAGACAAUAUCAAAAUACAUGAGGCAACCAAAGAUACUCGAAUCAGCAGGCAUGGCCCUCACAGGUUUCUGAGGACAUGGCAGGCAGCUGGCUGAGGCCCUUUGGUAGUCGGUCUAUGCCUCUCUGUCCCCAUGGCCAAAGGGGCCAGGGGUCUGAGGGCUGGGGUCCAGAGGAGAAAGGUGAGAAGCGGGGGACUCAAGUUGGUGUUGCAGGCUCAAGAGAGCAGCCAUUGCAGCUCAGGCAACUCUCGCCCCUACACUGGAAGGCA